AUGUCCAUGUCGUCAGAGUAUAUCGGCGAUAUAAAAGGACCUUCAAGCCGAAGAAGAGUAUUAAACCAGUUGAGAGCAGUGCUACGACAUGCUCGCCUUAUUAAUCCCGUUCUUCUUAGUGGCCCGGGUGACGAUCGACGAGAGCGUCUGGAAAUAUGGACCAGAGUACGUGUUCGACGUAGAGAUGAACGUUACUUCGACUCCGAUGAACCACGAUGGAGUUCAAACGUCAAACUACACAGUGAUGAACCUCUUCUGUAGACCGACAGGCUCUGAUAGAUUGUACUGUCAUUUGGGAAACGUCAGACGGCAAAGCAUCGACAUCACGAACGACAAUAAAAUCGACAUACCAGAGGAACAAUCGAGACACCUAAUGAGCGAGGAACCAUUCGAAAUAAAAUUCAGCGAGUCUGGCAUCGACCAUCUGACGGUGAACGAUCAAGUCGAAGUUGAACAUUUGAAUAAUUUUAAAUUGAUCGCCGAACGACUUAAUAUCGGAGUGGACUUGAAUGGCGUGCCCGAUGGAACGUUCCACGUUACGGAGAACACGACAAUCGGAGAAUGCGACGUGACCGUUACGAUAAAUCACUAUCCCUCCAAGAGAAUGAUGAACAAAAUAAAGAAUAACAGAUACGAGCUGGAAUCUCUGGCACGAUUGAACAAAGUUCCCAGCGAGACUAUACUGAUCCAGAAAACGACUAAUCUGAAUAACUGCAGCUACUACGCAUCCUUCUACUUCGGAUCUUACGGUGCCAAUAUCGUGGUCGAAGCGGAUCUCGAUUCGCAUCUAGAAAGUUCGACUACGCGUGUCUUCGUGAGCGACUAUCAGUUCGUCUCGUCGAUGACAAGGAUGGGCACUUUGGGCACGGAAAAGAAGAAACUGUCGGCUAUGACGCAAUACGUAAGUGUGUCUCUGAGAGAUAUUCGAGCAGCCAAACGAGAAUUGCUUGAAAUUCCUGAUUCAUCGAUAACUAGCAUCGUGGCGAAUUCAGAGAUGAAGAACAUAUUUCCGAUGAAAUAAACGAUUUCUGGGAUAAUUUGAAAUACAGUUAUAGAUUAAAAAGACAAAUUAUAAUCUGUCGACGUCAAGCACUAAGUUAAAAACAGACAAGAUAUUAAUGUACCAUAGAAUGUUUUGUCCAAUUUAUGAUAAAAAAAUAAACGAAAGACAAUAAA